GAUGAACGCUGGCGGCGUGCCUAAUACAUGCAAGUCGAGCGAACAGACGAGGAGCUUGCUCCUCUGACGUUAGCGGCGGACGGGUGAGUAACACGUGGAUAACCUACCUAUAAGACUGGGAUAACUUCGGGAAACCGGAGCUAAUACCGGAUAAUAUAUCGAACCGCAUGGUUCAAUAGUGAAAGACGGUUUUGCUGUCACUUAUAGAUGGAUCCGCGCCGCAUUAGCUAGUUGGUAAGGUAACGGCUUACCAAGGCAACGAUGCGUAGCCGACCUGAGAGGGUGAUCGGCCACACUGGAACUGAGACACGGUCCAGACUCCUACGGGAGGCAGCAGUAGGGAAUCUUCCGCAAUGGGCGAAAGCCUGACGGAGCAACGCCGCGUGAGUGAUGAAGGUCUUCGGAUCGUAAAACUCUGUUAUUAGGGAAGAACAAAUGUGUAAGUAACUAUGCACGUCUUGACGGUACCUAAUCAGAAAGCCACGGCUAACUACGUG
rnacentral:rRNA from 1 species